AACGAACGCUGGCGGCAGGCUUAACAUAUGCAAGUCGAACGCAUCGCAAGAUGAGUGGCAGACGGGUGAGUAACGCGUGGGAACAUACCCUUUUCUACGGAAUAGCUCUGGGAAACUGGAAUUAAUACCGUAUACGCCCUACGGGGGAAAGAUUUAUCGGGGAAGGAUUGGCCCGCGUUGGAUUAGCUAGUUGGUGGGGUAAAGGCCUACCAAGGCGACGAUCCAUAGCUGGUCUGAGAGGAUGAUCAGCCACAUUGGGACUGAGACACGGCCCAAACUCCUACGGGAGGCAGCAGUGGGGAAUAUUGGACAAUGGGCGCAAGCCUGAUCCAGCCAUGCCGCGUGAGUGAUGAAGGCCUUAGGGUUGUAAAGCUCUUUCACCGAUGAAGAUAAUGACGGUAGUCGGAGAAGAAGCCCCGGCUAACUUCGUGCCAGCAGCCGCAGUAACAC
rnacentral:rRNA from 1 species